rnacentral:tRNA from 1 species
CGACGGAUGGGCGGGCGUCGCGGCCCCCGAGGGUUGGAGUCGCUCGGACACCGAGCGGAUCCGCACCGCGCUCGACGC